AAAUCAUGGCCAAAAGAAACAUCUUAAUGAAAAUAAUAUAUUUGCCGAGUGCAUUCUUUAUUCUAGUGUUGACUGGUGUUGACUUUCUGGACUUUUGAGUGAAAUUUUUAAAAAUUCUGAUGUUAAGAAGUUAAAACAAAUUUUUGAAAGAAGUGGUUAGGGGCAUGAGAGCACAGAGGUUAUAAUGUUUGAUAACAUUCAUGGCAACAUCUGCAAGCAAAUUUAAAGUAAAUCUAAGAAAAAAUAACAAAAUAGAAGCAUUUCCUACUACUCUUACAUAGACCUAUAAUUUUAAACUACCUUCACAAAAAAUAUAUUAUUUAACUUGGGCUUGAUAGGGACUGAUAAUUCUAAGAAUGUGUUUUAUAGCUCUAGUGUUGUGAGUUGUGAGUACCCCCAAAAAAAGUUUUGAAUAUUUUCUUGAGUUAGAGAAUAAUCAUUACCCAUUUUGCAUUCUUAUUACUUAAAAAUGUCAAUUAUAGCCUAAGCUGUUCUGUUUUAUGGUACCAUGAGGACAUGAAUAAUUUGCUUAGGAAAGAAUAAGAUGUUAUUUUACUUAUGAUUCCCUACUUCAAAAUAUCAUGGAUACUCCUAUAUAGUAUGUAAGCUUUGAGAUUGGAAACUUCAAAGAGGUUUUUGAGUUUAUUGUCUUCAUGUCUUUGAUUGUUGAAUUGAAUGAGCUGUCUGUAGGAGGUACUGAGUGGGCAGUUGUACCCAGGGGGCAGCUUACCCUCCAUCUGGCAGUUCCUCUUGGAACUUUAAUAUAUUGUUUGUCUUUAAUAGAGAUCUGUUCUCUUUUUGUGGAAACAACCACUUUAUGGUUCUAAUUCCCAAGUAACUACUAUGUAAUACGUGAUGAUACAUCAUGGAUGGUAUAGCAUGGCAAAAUAUUGUUAUAAGUCGUAGUAUGCUGAGAGGAGCUCCAGAGUAUACCUGCAACAUUUCCUCUGGAAACACAGAAAUCUUAAUUUUUGUGAGCUAAUAGUUUUCCUUUUCUUUUUUUACCUGAAAGAAAUCAACAUGCAGGAAUGGAUUUUUCUUAUAUGGGGAAUCAAAAGUAUGCAAAAAUACCAAAAAUGUAAUAUUAUAUAUUACUAUCUUAGAAGAAAUUUCUAAUUGUUGGUGUUAAUGCCUAGUAAAUAAUGGAGUGGAUAGUUUAAAUGACAUAUUAGAAGGUGUAAGACAUCCAAAAAGAAAAAAAAA
rnacentral:lncRNA from 1 species